rnacentral:rRNA from 1 species
AAACCAAUGCCAAGUCGAGGGGCAGCAUGAUCUUAGCUUGCUAAGGUCGAUGGCGACCGGCGGACGGGUGAGUAACGCGUAUGCAACUUGCCUUACAGAGGGGGAUAACCCGUUGAAAGACGGACUAAAACCGCAUACACUUGUAUUAUUGCAUGAUAUUACAAGGAAAUAUUUAUAGCUGUAAGAUAGGCAUGCGUCCCAUUAGCUAGUUGGUGAGGUAACGGCUCACCAAGGCGACGAUGGGUAGGGGAACUGAGAGGUUUAUCCCCCACACUGGUACUGAGACACGGACCAGACUCCUACGGGAGGCAGCAGUGAGGAAUAUUGGUCAAUGGGCGAGAGCCUGAACCAGCCAAGUCGCGUGAAGGAAGACAGUCCUAAGGAUUGUAAACUUCUUUUAUACGGGAAUAACGGGCGAUACGAGUAUUGCAUUGAAUGUACCGUAAGAAUAAGCAUCGGCUAACUCCGUGCCAGCAGCCGCGGUAAUACGGAGGAUGCGAGCGUUAUCCGGAUUUAUUGGGUUUAAAGGGUGCGUAGGUUGUUCGGUAAGUCAGCGGUGAAACCUGAGCGCUCAACGUUCAGCCUGCCGUUGAAACUGCCGGGCUUGAGUUCAGUGGCGGCAGGCGGAAUUCGUGGUGUAGCGGUGAAAUGCAUAGAUAUCACGAGGAACUCCGAUUGCGAAGGCAGCUUGCCAUACUGCGACUGACACUGAAGCACGAAGGCGUGGGUAUCAAACAGGAUUAGAUACCCUGGUAGUCCACGCAGUAAACGAUGAUUACUAGGAGUUUGCGAUAUACCGUCAAGCUUCCACAGCGAAAGCGUUAAGUAAUCCACCU